ACCCCUCAAUUUAUCUCACACACACGCAGUCUCUUUCACGUGUCUCUCUGAUGGCGUUGGCGUUUCUCCGGUGGACUUUUAGGCUGCUGAUGGUCCUGAUCGUCUUUCAGGGUGUGUGUGUGAUGUUUUAUUACACACCCAACACACACUCGUCCAGAGACGGGAUGACGAACGCUCUUCGGCAGAUGCACUGCGCUAAACUCAGACGCAGGUUUUCCAUUAUCAAACCGGCCAAAAGUGUAAAUCUGCAGAGCUUCACGCGGGGGCUAUCAGAUUUCAUGAGCUGCCCGUACAGAUCAAACACAACCGAGCGAGAGGUGAACAGUUUUUCUGUAACGCCACAG
rnacentral:lncRNA from 1 species